UACGGGGGGGGGCAAGCGUUGUUCGGAAUUACUGGGCGUAAAGGGCUCGUAGGCGGCCAACUAAGUCGGAUGUGAAAUCCCCAGGCUUAACCUGGGAACUGCAUCCGAUACUGGAUGGCUUGAAUCCGGGAGAGGGAUGCAGAAUUCCAGGUGUAGCGGUGAAAUGCGUAGAUAUCUGGAGGAAUACCGGUGGCGAAGGCGGCAUCCUGGACCGGCAUUGACGCUGAUGAGCGAAAGCGGUGGGGAGCAAACAGGG
rnacentral:rRNA from 1 species